CGAGGGCCUCGCUUCAUAGGAUCUAGCAACUCACGUCGGCCCCGAGCCGUGCGUAGCCGCCCGCGAGGACGUCUGCGAAGCGUCGGCAGGGGUGCGUGCAGGCCAGCCAUUGAGCCACGAUAUUUGUAUCGUCCUGGGUGCUGACAUGUUAGUAAUCAUGGAAGGCAAUGUGACCGGUUGCGUUAUAGCGAGUGACCGGGCAACCCUGCGUGGUCAGAGACCC
rnacentral:ncRNA from 1 species